rnacentral:rRNA from 1 species
GUUUAGAAGGAAACGGAUAGAGCCAAUGACGGUUGAUGGGAUUCAGUUUGUUGGCUAGGACUUGUAUGCACUUGUUGACAGUUAGCANCAGUGUGAAUGAGCUCCAUGCCAAUGAAUGCAUUUCCUGUUGACGCGCGUUGAGGGCUGCGGAAGUGCAAAAUGAAACCUAAGUUGCCGGCCCUGUUCAUGGGGUGUCCCUCUUGGGCGUAGGUU